UAUACAAGUGGGGAAUACUGUCUAAGUAAAAAAAUUAUUUUCUGUGUCUAAGUGUAAAAAAAGGGUGGAAACAAAAAAAGGUAUUUUCUCUCCUAGCGGCGGCGAACAUUUGAUGAGAUCCCAAACCCUAAAAUUUGUAGAGCUUCUUCUUCCUCCUUACAGGGUUGGACCUGUAACUUUUUGUUCUUUUUCGUCUUCUUCAAGGUUGAUCCGUAUUUUUCUGUUCUCUUCCUUUCUCAGUAUCAACUCUUUACUUUUUUUUAGCUUUCCUUUGUGACCUUUUUCUUAAAUUUUAUGUCACAGAAGACAAUGAGUGAAGGAAAACUGGAAUUUUCUCCAUAGAUCUACGUUUCCCAUUGACGUAUUGCUCUGUGAGCUUCUUGUUGAAGACGACGAAAAGUAGCGGAAGUGGGACUUUGAUGGCUGUGAGAGUUAAAGCUUAUGGUUCUUCUUCCGAUUCGUCUGCAGAUUCGUCCACGCCUCUUAAUGGCACUCGGAUCAAUUGGUUUUGAGCAGCAGCACAAAAGCAGGAGAGAUAUAUUAUUGGAGUAUGUUGAGAAUGUGAAGCCUGAGUUCUUGGAGAUGUUUGUUAAACUUGCCCCUAAACAUAUUUUGAAAUAGAACAAAGAUAAGAAGGACGCUGAGUUUAAUGAACGAUUCAAGCAUAGGCAAGGUCGAUUGAAGAGGAGAUUCAAAGAGAGAUUGAUGCAGUCUCUCAACCCUCAGAUGGCGCCUCACAAGGAGGUUCCUCAGCCACAGGGUUGACUCAGCUUCAAGAGGAUGAGCUGUUCUAUAAGGUGGUACCAUCUCAGAAUGGGAGGAUCUUCGGUCUCGGGGGCAGAAACUACAUCCGUGAGCGUGGAGAAAGCUCAGCUUGGAAAGGAUCUCUCUUGAACGUCAACUCACAUCUCUUCAAGAGCAGCUGGCUAAUGUUGUGGAAUUUAUGAAGCAAUAUAUGCCUAAAGGUGGCUCACACUCUUUCCCAUCGGCUCAACCAACUAAUGGUAUGGGUGCAUCACUGACCAGCCCAACUCAAGCCAACAACAGGGACAACCGAGAUGCCAACCCUGAAGAUGCUGACAUCCAUCUCAGUCAUCCCACUAAUGUGCCGGAUGAGACUCAUGAACCAGAAGACAAUGACGGUGACGCAUAUCACGGUAGUGCCACCAUCUGAUAAACACUCAAUAUCACCUUUCUUUAACCCCUCAUCGUUUGUUUUAAUACUCUGAGCAGAGUAUGUAUUUUGGUUUAUAUAUCUGCUCUUUAAUGUGGUCUAAAACUCUGCUUCCUAUUUCGGUUUAAAGCUCUGAUCUGUAGUCUUUUGCUUAAAACUCUGCUCUGUAGUCUAAUGUAUGCUGGUAAAACGCUGUAUCACUUCCUGUUACUACUUUUGUAUCUUAUUUGCACAUUUGUUUUCCGUUUAUAGUGUAAUCAAUCAAAACUAAUUGUUACAGGAACU